rnacentral:rRNA from 1 species
GACGAACGCUGGCGGCGUGCUUAACACAUGCAAGUCGAACGGAAAGGCCCUGCUUGCAGGGUGCUCGAGUGGCGAACGGGUGAGUAACACGUGGGUGAUCUGCCCCUUACUUUGGGAUAAGCCUGGGAAACUGGGUCUAAUACUGGAUAGGACCAUGCUGUAGGUGGUGUGGUGGAAAGAUUAGUUUCGGUAAGGGAUGAGCUCGCGGCCUAUCAGCUUGUUGGUGGGGUAAUGGCCUACCAAGGCGUCGACGGGUAGCCGGCCUGAGAGGGUGGACGGCCACAUUGGGACUGAGAUACGGCCCAGACUCCUACGGGGGGCAGCAGUGGGGAAUAUUGCACAAUGGGCGCAAGCCUGAUGCAGCGACGCCGCGUGGGGGAUGACGGCCUUCGGGUUGUAAACUCCUUUCAGCCAUGACGAAGCCCGUGUGGUGACGGUAGUGGUAGAAGAAGCACCGGCUAACUACGUG